rnacentral:tRNA from 1 species
GGGCUGUUGGCGCAGUUGGCUAGCGCGCCUCCAUGGCAUGGAGGAGGUCGAGGGUUCAAAUCCCUCACAGUCCA